CACCGCUCACUCCUACUAUAUCGCAAAAUAUAUAGUAUAAUAUUAUAUUAAAAUGAGUUUGUUGUAUGAGAUUAGCAUAAGUUCUGCUCUGCUAACAUUAUGUGUCUAUCAACUAGUUGGAUGCAAUGACGCAUGGAGUAAUCUGUGUGCUUAAUAUAAUGAAAUAGUAAUUAUUAAUAAAAUUAACUAAUCUUAUGCUUCGAAAAUAAGUGUUAACAAAACUUUUUAUACUCUUUUAGUGUAAUCCUCACCUUCUGCAACCGUGUUGUGAUGAAAAUGCUUCGUGCAAAGUGAAAAAGUCAAGGAAUAAUUAUGUCUGCUGAGAAAGAUCUAAGUUGGAUGGUUAGUGUGUCAGCGAUAAAGACUGCAGCGAAAUAUGGCAUGCUAAAUGUUCGGAAAAAAGGUGUUUGUCGACCAAAUAAUAUAAUAAUUAAUGACAUACACUGUGCAUCGCCAUUAGGAAAAUUUUGCUGGAAAAACGAAAUGUGCGCAACCAAUAAUGCUGUUUGUAUAGAUAACGAAUGUCAAUGUAAUAAACAGCAUAUCCAAUUUGAUAAUCAAUGCAUACUAAAUGGAUGAGCAAGUUUCUUCGUCCAGAACUGUAAUAGUAGCAUCGUCUUGAGCGAGUUACUUAUCAACUGUCCUUAAGCAUGCUUCAUCAGAAACUCACUUCACUCGAGCAAGUUUUUUUGGGCACUCAAUGUGAAGACGAAUCAUUUUGUAAACGAUUUAUAAAUCAUUCCAAAUGCUCUGAGAGUGGAAAAUGUGUAUGCGACUCUAAUGACUAUAUAAUAGAUAACAAUGCAUGCGUACCAAAAUUAAACGCAGAUUGUUUCACUGAUGAACUUUGUGCAACAGACAAUGCUAUGUGUAUUGAUAAUAAAUGUCAGUGUAAGCCUAAUCAUAUCUUUCGAGGAUCUAAAUGUUUUCCAAUUCAUUUGUUCGAAGAAUGUUAUACACAUAGAGAUUGUUAUAAAAUGGAAUUUGCAAAGUGCUCAGAUUCAAAUCAAUGUAUGUGCAGAGAUGAAUACUUACCAAUUAACGAAUCAACUCGUGCAGCAAGCUUAGGUGCAGCUUGUGCAAAAAAUGCACAAUGUAAACCCAGUAAUUUGAGGUGUGUUCAGAAUAAAUGCCAAUACCCUGUAAAACCUAUUGUACUGUUAAAUGAUGAAUCCGUACCCAGUACGCUUCGGCCCUUUGUAGCAUUCUUCUUGCAUAAGGCGGUAUCGUCAGUCUUCAGCAAAUCUGCAUCAUGAGUUUUAAAAAAGUCUGAGGCAAGAUACUUCCGUAAGUCACGUUGAGUAAAUCUGCAGUAAUGCAUGAUUGAGAAAAGAUACUUGCAUGAGAAACAUAAGAUCAGGCUUGCUACCGAAUCGCUUAAGAUACGUGAAUAUGUUUACCACCUUCAUUACUUCCUGAGCCGUCUAUUCAGCAUCAGUAUAGUAAAUUCAAUGGUGCUGACCUAAUGAUUGAUAUAAUUUUAUCGAUUGAUGAUAUUAUUAAUUUAUAGCGCUUAAAUGUAAAAGAGGACAACUGAAGUUGCCAGAAAUACUGUGUUUGAGCUUGGAGUAGUGUGAAGAUAAAGAAACCUGAUUUCUUAAACAGUUUUGCAGCAAUUCUGAGCUUUCGUUAUUAUACAAUAUUAUACUUUCUCCAAGUUCUGUUAGGAAGCCCCUGCCUGACAAAUAUAAAUUGUAAGAGUAUUCAAAAGUCCACUUCUUUGCAUCCUUUAAUUUAACAUGUGAACCAACUUUAUAUGGAUUUCGUACGAAAGAUGAUCAAUGUCUUCAUCAUUCAUUUUAUUGUUUGAAUAAUAUGUGUCAAUGCAAACCAGGUUUUACAUCAGUUGCUGUUGAUCAAUGUUCCGAAAAAAAUUGGUAAUUUUUAAAGUUGUAGAUUUCGUUCAUAUUUCCGAAAAUCGAGUUUCGAAUAGAUUGCGAGGUUUUACCGUACUUGGAAGCUAUCCUGACUAUUUUCAAAGGGGUGUCCGAGUAUAUGUAUAUGGCAAAUUCUCGGUAUUCCUGUAAAAACAAAUAUGACUGCAGUGAUCUGUGGCAUUCACAUCGUUCAAGGGAACGCAAAUGUGUUUUUAAAUCAAAUAAUGUUGCAAUCAAUAAUUCUACAUGUUUACCUAUUUUAGAUGGCUAUUGUUGGAGAAAUGAUCAAUGUGCUGUUGAAAACUCUUUUUGCAGUAAUUAUAGGUGUGCGUGUAAAUCUCACUUCCUUGCUAUCGCCAAAAAUCAAUGCAUUUCUGUUCUUAAUUAAUAGAAAUGCUUAGCCGAUAUUUUAUAGAGUUAUUAUUCUAGAAACUGGCUAAUUUAUCAAUGAAGAUACAAUUCGUCAAAAUGUCGCAGAGUUCAAGACAAACUUUAGCAACAAUGCCAAUCUCAAGUUACUGGAGGAAAUACUGAUUUUAAGGUUGACGCAACAGAAACGAUGAUCUACAUAUGAGAUAUACACAAUAAAAUAUAAUCUUGAAGUAGUUUAUGUAAAUUUGACAUGAAUGUCCUGAAAAACCAUUGACUAUUAAUUUUAGAUAACGACUCUAGUAACAUUCUUAAAAAAGUCUUACGCAAGUCAGUACAUUCAGUCUUUAGCAUGUCUGGAUUAUCAGUUUUGAACAAGUCUGAGGCAAGAUACUUUCGUAAGAUCCGUUAAGUAAAUCUGUAUUAAAACUUGUUGAGGACGAAAUCCUCUCUUAAGAUGAAUCAAAUCUAACUUACUGCAGAAUUAGUUAAGAUAUGAGGAUGACGAUUCUCUUCGUUACUUCGUUACUUCGUGAGCCGUCUAUUCUAUGCUAGUAUAUUCAAUUCAGUGACGACCACUCAGUGUUCAAUUUGAUUUUAUUGAGUGAUAAUAUUUUUUGCUUGUGACACUUUAAAUUCAAAUAGGAACCGCUGGGUUUGCUACACGUACUGCAUAUAAGCUUGAUCUGACUUGUAGAUAAUAAACUCCGCUAUGCGAAGUCUUGCUGGACACUGUUUCUACAGACUUCUAUAAGUCUUGAAAACGAAAUUCAAAAAAGACUUGAUAAGCUCCACAGCAAAUAUACUUAUCAAAUCUAUCUUCUUUAAGUCUUGUUUAAAUUUACCGUGAGAAAAUUAAUAAUGGACAUUUGUCAAGUAACUUGCUUAAAAUGAUGACACUACGGUAUGAAUCAGCCAGCAAAUAUUGAUGCGUUUUGACUAUUGUACGAUUCACAUAAACCUCGUUUAGGAAACAACUGGUUUAAGUGGUGGCUCACUAAUGCUUAUCUAAGAUAUCAUUGACAAAACUGAGAUAUAUUUACAUUGUCUUCUUUAAAAUAUUAUAUAUAUGCAUACAUACAUACAUUUACAUGUAUAUGUACUGUAACAAGAUUUAUCGGCGCAGUAGCAACGUGUAUCGUAUAUAAAAGGACCUACGAGUCUAGACAUCGAUUAUUUAUUAUUAUCAAUCCUUUAUGAAUCAUGUAUUAGUUAUACCUUUCAUUCUCAUAAAGAUGAGUUAUAAUGUUGGAAUACGUCUACAAUUAUUCUACCUUAUCCUAUUCCUUUCAUCCGUUUAAGGAA